rnacentral:lncRNA from 1 species
GCGCCGCGUUCCUCCCGCUCCCCGGUGCUGGCGGAGACCUCACCGCCACCUCCCACUCGUCCUCCUCCUCCUGCCCGAUAGGUUUCGGGGCGGGUGGCUGCCCUUCUUUUUUCCUCCACGUCAUGGAGGAAAAUGCUGUGCCGCACACACAUCACACGCCCCGGCACACAAGAGCGCCCCUUCGAGCCGAGCCGGGCGCCGGCCCGGGACGGCCGCGAUCCGCUCGGGUGAGAGGCGACCGGCGGGCGCGUCCCGGGACAGCGGCGGCGAGAGGCGAAGAUAAAGCCCGAACUUGGCGGAGCGGCGGCUGCGGAGCCAGCAGCUCCCGCCCUCCUGCCGGCGGCUUCGCUGUAGGCGCAAAUUUGGGCGCUCGGCCGUGGCGGCGGAGUUCGGGAGAAGGAGGAAAGGGCGGCACUGCGCGACUCCGCGGCAGCGGAGCGGGGCGGCGCUCCGCGGGGGACAGCACAGGGCCGGGCGCGGCGCCGGAGGAGGAGGAAGAGGAGGAGGAGGAGGGUUGGUGCCGCUGCCGCUGCUGCGGGAGAGCUCCGAAAUAAUGUCAUCCCUGCUACUUCUGUAUGUCCAACUUCAAGUGCAUGUGAAGCACUGAUGCUGAUGGAGGCUGUGGGCAGUGUCAGGAUGGAGCAGAUACUAGGACUUUUUUUGCCCACCGAGCUGGCUGUACCCAUAUUGAUCUACUGGGACAGAGCAUCCUAAAGAGACCACAGCAAAGUCCAGGAGGUAGGUCUGCAGCACUCUUUGAUGUGAUCUUACUGAUGUGACAAGCUGUGACUUUGUUGGGGGAAACAACUUAAAGAGGGUGAUUUACAGUGGGGGUUUACAGACAAGAGUCUGCAGGCAGCUUGGUGGUGGGGUGAAGGAAAUGGAGAAAUAUUUUGAGCUGUUAAUGGGGGCUUUCCUGCUGUGCCAUGCAGUUCCUCCUGCUUUCCUGUCUAACAGGAAAUUUCCUCCCUCUUUUGCAGUGCUUCUUGCCAAUGAACACAACUUCUGUCCCUUUGGGUCUAAUUUUUAUGUACAAUUGUUUUAAACUCCUGUAUGAGGGGGGAGAAAAAGCUGUUAAACUCUAGAUUGCCACAAAUUAGAAGGGACUAAACUAUUUGUUGGACUAUGUGUUUACAAGUGGGAUUUUGUUUAUUUGUUUUCUUGAUUCUUGCCUUUAUAGUACACUACGUGCUUGGCAGGCAUGGAUACCCUCAUGUCACAAGGUCAGAGAAUUAAAAUUCUCAAUGUAUCAGUAUCUGGC